rnacentral:rRNA from 1 species
UGCCCACCAGCUAGCUUAACCCGCAAAAUUCAACGCCACCCUAUAAAUAACCCCUAAAAUAAUGAUACCCCCAUAAACAAACCAUUUUUCCUCCUUAGUACGGGCGACGGAAAAGGACCCCUCUUUAAAGCAAUAAAAAAAGUACCGCAAGGGAAAGCUGAAAAAGAAUUGAAAUAGACCAGUAAAGCACAAUGAAGCAGAGCUUUUAUCUCGUACCUUUUGCAUCAUGA